CAAGAUAAGAUGAAAAAGUAAGGGGGGCGUGGGGCUACGGAUAGGCAGAGGUGAAGAAAUGGGUCUUGAGGCGG